AGACCGAUAGCGAACAAGUAGAGUGAUNGAAAGGUUAAAAGCACCUUGAAAAGGGAGUUAAACAGCACGUGAAAUUGUUGAAAGGGAAGCGCUUGCGGCCAGACUUCGGGGGCGGGGUUCAGCGGGCGCUCGUCGCCCGUGCACUCCCCGUCUCCCGGGCCAGCAUCAGUUUCGACGGCCGGUCAAAGGCCCCCGGAAUGUGUCGUCUCUCGGGACGUCUUAUAGCCGGGGGUGCAAUGCGGCCCGUCGGGACUGAGGAACGCGCUCCGGCUCGGAUGCUGGCGUAAUGGCCGUAAGCGGCCCGUCUUGAAACACGGACCAAG
rnacentral:rRNA from 1 species